UACAGGGGGGGCAAGCGUUGUUCGGAAUUACUGGGCGUAAAGGGCUCGUAGGCGGCCAACUAAGUCGGAUGUGAAAUCCCCAGGCUCAACUUGGGAACUGCAUCCGAUACUGGAUGGCUUGAAUCCGGGAGAGGGAUGCAGAAUUCCAGGUGUAGCGGUGAAAUGCGUAGAUAUCUGGAGGAAUACCGGUGGCGAAGGCGGCAUCCUGGACCGGCAUUGACGCUGAUGAGCGAAAGCUAGGGGAGCAAACGGGG
rnacentral:rRNA from 1 species